rnacentral:rRNA from 1 species
GACGAACGCUGGCGGCGUGCUUAACACAUGCAAGUCGAACGGAAAGGCCCUGCUUUUGUGGGGUGCUCGAGUGGCGAACGGGUGAGUAACACGUGAGUAACCUGCCCUUGACUUUGGGAUAACUUCAGGAAACUGGGGCUAAUACCGGAUAGGAGCUCCUGCUGCAUGGUGGGGGUUGGAAAGUUUCGGCGGUUGGGGAUGGACUCGCGGCUUAUCAGCUUGUUGGUGGGGUAGUGGCUUACCAAGGCUUUGACGGGUAGCCGGCCUGAGAGGGUGACCGGCCACAUUGGGCCUGGGAUACGGCCCAGACUCCUACGGGAGGCAGCAGUGGGGAAUAUUGCACAAUGGGCGGAAGCCUGAUGCAGCAACGCCGCGUGCGGGAUGACGGCCUUCGGGUUGUAAACCGCUUUCGCCUGUGACGAAGCGUGAGUGACGGUAAUGGGUAAAGAAGCACCGGCUAACUACGUG